rnacentral:tRNA from 1 species
GGUUCCAUGGUGUAAAUGGUUAGCACUUUGGACUCUGAAUCCAGCGAUCCGAGUUCAAAUCUCAGUAGGAACCU